UACGUAGGGGGCUAGCGUUGUCCGGAAUUACUAGGCGUAAAGGGCUCGUAGGCGGCCAACUAAGUCAGACGUGAAAUCCCUAGGCUCAACCUAGGAACUGCGUCUGAUACUGGAUGGCUUGAAUCCGGGAGAGGGAUGCAGAAUUCCAGGUGUAGCGGUGAAAUGCGUAGAUAUCUGGAGGAAUACCGGUGGCGAAGGCGGCAUCCUGGACCGGCAUUGACGCUGAGGAGCGAAAGCCAGGGGAGCAAACGGG
rnacentral:rRNA from 1 species